GGGUUUGUAGCUCAGUUGGCUAGAGCGCUUCGCUUACAUCGAAGAGGUCACAGGUUCGAGUCCUGUCAAACCCA
rfam:Microgenomates (Roizmanbacteria) bacterium GW2011_GWC2_41_7 TT78_C0020, whole genome shotgun sequence.